rnacentral:rRNA from 1 species
UACAGAGGUCCCGAGCGUUUGUUCGGAUUCAUUGGGCGUAAAGGGUGCGUAGGCGGCGAGGCAAGUCUGAUGUGAAAUCCCGGGGCUCAACCCCCGGAACUGCAUUGGAUACUGCCCUGCUAGAGUACUGGAGAGGGAACUGGAAUUUACGGUGUAGCAGUGAAAUGCGUAGAGAUCGUAAGGAAGGCCAGUGGCGAAGGCGAGUUCCUGGACAGUUACUGACGCUGAGGCACGAAGGCCAGGGGAGCAAACGGG